rnacentral:rRNA from 1 species
AAUCUUCCACAAUGGGCGCAAGCCUGAUGCAGCCAUGCCGCGUGUAUGAAGAAGGCCUUCGGGUUGUAAAGUACUUUCAGCGGGGAGGAAGGGAAAAUGGUUAAUAACCAUUUUCAUUGACGUUACCCGCAGAAGAAGCACCGGCUAACUCCGUGCCAGCAGCCGCGGUAAUACGGAGGGUGCAAGCGUUAAUCGGAAUUACUGGGCGUAAAGCGCACGCAGGCGGUCUGUCAAGUCGGAUGUGAAAUCCCCGGGCUCAACCUGGGAACUGCAUUCGAAACUGGCAGGCUUGAGUCUUGUAGAGGGGGGUAGAAUUCCAGGUGUAGCGGUGAAAUGCGUAGAGAUCUGGAGGAAUACCGGUGGCGAAGGCGGCCCCCUGGACAAAGACUGACGCUCAGGUGCGAAAGCGUGGGGAGCAAACAG